UACGUAGGGGCAAGCGUUGUCCGGAUUCAUUGGGCGUAAAGAGCGUGUAGGCGGCCAGGUAGGUCGGUUGUGAAAACUGGAGGCUCAACCUUCAGAGGUCGACCGAAACCAUCUGGCUAGAGUCCGGGAGAGGAGAGUGGAAUUCCUGGUGUGAGCGGUGAAAUGCGUAGAUAUUGGGAGGAACACCAGUGGCGGAAGGCGGCUCACUGGCCCGAUACUGACGCUGAGGCACGGAAAAGCGUGGGGGAGCAAACAGGG
rnacentral:rRNA from 1 species